rnacentral:rRNA from 1 species
CGUGUAGUCGGUAUUGUAAGUCAGAUGUAAAAGGCUACGGCUUAACCGUAGAUUGUCAUUUGAAACUACAGUACUUGAGUGCGAGAGAGGGUAGUGGAAUUCCCAGUGUAGCGGUGAAAUGCGUAGAUAUUGGGAAGAACACCAGUAGCGAAGGCGGCUACCUGGCUCGUAACUGACGCUAAUGCGCGAAAGCGUGGGGAGCGAACAGGAUUAGAUACCCUGGUAGUCC